rnacentral:rRNA from 1 species
GACGAACGCUGGCGGCGUGCCUAAUACAUGCAAGUCGAGCGGAGCGGCGGACGGGUGAGUAAUGGUUAGGAAUCGGCCUGGUAGUGGGGGAUAAGGUCAGGUAACGGGCGCUAAUACCGCAUACUAUCAGAUGAGCCUAGGUCGGAUUAGGUAGUUGGUGGGGUAGAGGCGUACCAAGGCCACGAUCCGUAACUGGUCUGAGAGGAUGAUGAGUCACACUGGAACUGAGACACGGUCCAGACGCCUACGGUAGGCAGCAUGGGGGAAUAUUGGACAAUGGGCGAAAGCCUGAUCCAGCCAUGCCGCGUGUGUGAAGAAGGUCUUCGGAUUGUAAAGCACUUUAAGUGGGGAGGCGUUACCAACAGAAUAAGCACCGGCUAACUUCGUGCCAGCCGCCGCGGUAAUUC